rnacentral:rRNA from 1 species
GACGAACGCUGGCGGCGUGCUUAACACAUGCAAGUCGAACGGAAAGGCCCGCUUGCGGGUACUCGAGUGGCGAACGGGUGAGUAACACGUGGGCAACCUGCCCUCAGCUCUGGGAUAACUCCGGGAAACCGGUGCUAAUACUGGAUACGACUGCGCAUCGCCGGGUGUGUGGUGGAAAGUUUUGCGGCGGAGGAUGGGCCCGCGGCCUAUCAGCUUGUUGGUGGGGUAAUAGCCUACCAAGGCGACGACGGGUAGCCGGCCUGAGAGGGCGACCGGCCACACUGGGACUGAGACACGGCCCAGACUCCUACGGGAGGCAGCAGUGGGGAAAAUUGCGCAAUGGGCGAAAGCCUGACGCAGCGACGCCGCGUGAGGGAUGACGGCCUUCGGGUUGUAAACCCCUUUCAGCUCUGACGAAGCGAAAGUGACGGUAGGAGCAGAAGAAGCACCGGCCAACUACGUGCCAGCCGCCGCCGUAA